UCGGAUAACCGUAGUAAUUCAAGAGCUAAUACGUGCGGAAAUCCACGACUUCUGGAAGGGACGUAUUUAUUAGAUAAAAGGCCGACCGGGCUUGCCCGAAUCGCGGUGAAUCAUGAUAACUCCACGAAUCGCAUGGCCUCAGCGCCGGCGAUGUUUCAUUCAAAUUUCUGCCCUAUCAACUUUCGACGGUAAGGUAUUGGCUUACCGUGGUGGUAACGGGUGACGGAGGAUUAGGGUUCGAUUCCGGAGAGGGAGCCUGAGAAACGGCUACCACAUCCAAGGAAGGCAGCAGGCGCGCAAAUUACCCAAUCUUGACACAAGGAGGUAGUGACAAUAAAUAACAAUACCGGGGUUUUUCAACUCUGGUAAUUGGAAUGAGUACAAUCUAAACCCCUUAACGAGGAUCAAUUGGAGGGCAAGUCUGGUG
rnacentral:rRNA from 1 species